UUUAAUGUUCAGGCAAUCAGCACUAAGAUGUACCAGUAGAUUCCCAAAACUCAAACCUAAAGAACUGGGAGCAUUCUAGAAUUCAGUGUUAUACACUAAGCACCAAAGGACAGUGAUAUGUGGAGAAGGAAUCCAGCCACUGGGAGACUAGAGCUCAAGAGCAUGAAACCAGUCACUGGGAGAUGAAGUCAUUAAGGUCAGGUUGGAACUAGAAGGAAUAAGCUGUUGAUGCUUAUCUGGAAGCCGAAUUCAGAGGUGAGAAUUAAGUAGAGGCCUCUAUUAGGGUUAGAGGGGAAUACUGAUAUUAACCAAACAGAACACAGG
rnacentral:lncRNA from 1 species